ensembl:lncRNA
CCUGGAAGUGUUCAAGGCCAUGUUGGAUUAGGCUCUGAGCAACAUGGUCUAGUGGGAGGUGUUCCUAUUCAUAGGAGGGAUAUGGGAACUAGAUAACUCUUAAGGUCCUUUCCACCCCAAACCAUUCUGUCAUCCUAUGAUUCUAUUAUUCUUUGUGCAUACAGAAAGAUCCAAUGGUUCUGGAAUGCAAAAAGGAAGACAUCACUUUCUCAUUCAACUGUCAAAGCACUGCUCGUUGUGUCCUCAGUUUUAUCUGAUUCUCCAAACUCAAAGAUAAAUUAGUGUAUCUUAAUGGAUAAACAAGACUCACAAGAUUGUUGACAAUACUGGAAGUGGCUGGCUCUAUUUCUGAUAGAAGAGUAAAGGCUGGGACCCUCUCACGGGAUGCUCUUCACCAUGCUGAAUAUUGGUGGCUGCUAUAAUCUGUAUUACUUAGAAGAGCUAUCAAAUCAGGAAAAAAGGAACUACAAAGAAGUUGCAAGCUCCAGACACCACAGCACUCUUUGGGGACAGGAACCUGUGAAUGUCAGCUUGUUUCUUCAGUUCUAGAGAAUUUGAGGCGGGAGUUUCCUGGCAUCAAAAUGUUCGGUCAUAUGUACAACUUGAUGAGAAGGAACUAUGACAGGAAGGAAAGAAAAGGAAGCAAGCUAGCAAGCAAGCAAGCCUGGCCCUAGUCUGCAGCCCAGCCUCUCUUGUCUGGAUGUGAAGAACCCAAGGGUCUCUUUUGCAUAACAAGCAGCUAGUCUUACUGCUUCUUUUCAUGCCUUGUAUAUACAUUAUCACUCGGCAGUGAAAGUGAUGUCAAAGGACAACUUUUGUUUGUCCAGGAAUUUCUAUACCAACAUCUUAAUAUAAGACCAGUAAAUUGCAAAAGAGAAGACAAAUAGAGAAAUUACAGAUGCAUAAAAUAUAAUAGGAAAGGUUUUAAAAAACUGCUUUUGAAUGAGUGGACAAAAUGCUUAACGGUAAGCAGAACAUUUUGCAUUUAUUUCAGGAAUACAUGGCAAUAAAACAUAACACAGACAGAAUGAAAUGCUAACGGUUGUUUUACUCUGUGAAAUUUUCAUCUUAAAGAUCUUGGUAAUAUUUUUGAAAGGAACAUAAAGGAUUUUCCCAAAACUGUGUGCUUGUUGUUUGGUAACCCAACUCUUCCCAGAGACAGUGUUCUGCUUUCAUUUGAUGAUUUAUGACACCUUCUCUGCGCAUGAUUUUGAGUAAAUCACUAGACAGCACUAUGAUAUACUGCAGUGUCAUAUGCCCAAGAGGCAGAGAAGAAAGGAAACUAUGAAAUAUCAG